AUGCACGCUGGCGGCGUGCUUAACACAUGCCAGUCGAACGAAGCACUUUAUUUGAUUUCCUUCGGGACUGAUUAUUUUGUGACUGAGUGGCGGACGGGUGAGUAACGCGUGGGUAACCUGCCUUGUACAGGGGGAUAACAGUUGGAAACGGCUGCUAAUACCGCAUAAGCGCACAGCAUCGCAUGAUGCAGUGUGAAAAACUCCGGUGGUAUAAGAUGGACCCGCGUUGGAUUAGCUAGUUGGUGAGGUAACGGCCCACCAAGGCGACGAUCCAUAGCCGACCUGAGAGGGUGACCGGCCACAUUGGGACUGAGACACGGCCCAAACUCCUACGGGAGGCAGCAGUGGGGAAUAUUGCACAAUGGGCGAAAGCCUGAUGCAGCGACGCCGCGUGAGCGAAGAAGUAUUUCGGUAUGUAAAGCUCUAUAAGCAGGGAAGAUAAUGACGGUACCUGACGAAGAAGCACCGGCUAAAUACGUG
rnacentral:rRNA from 1 species